rnacentral:rRNA from 1 species
GACGAACGCUGGCGGCGUGCCUAACACAUGCAAGUCGAACGGAAAGGCCCUGCUUUGGGGGGGUGCUCGAGGGGCGAACGAGUGAGUAACACGUGAGUGACCUGCCGUUGACGUUGAGAUGACUUCAGGAAAGUGGGGCUAAUACCGGAUAGGAGCUCGUGAGGCAGGGAGGGCGUGGGAUGGUUUCGGCGGAUGGGGAGGUACUCGCGGCGUAAUAGAUUGUGGGUUGGGUAAAUGCAUACGAAGGCGUUGAGGGGUAGCCGGUCGGAGAGGGUGGUCAGCCGCACUGGGAGGUAGACACGGCCCAUACGCCUGCGGGAGGCAGCAGUGGGGAAUGUUGGACAAUGGGGGGAAGCCUGAUCCAGCCAUGCCGCGUGUAGUAUGAAGGCGUUCGGUUUGGAAACUGCUUUUUUGCGGUACGAAACGCCUUCUUUUAAUACAGAGGGGUCGUGACGGUACCGUAAGAAUAAGCACCGGCUAACUACGUG